CCUACGGGUGGCUGCAGUGGGGAAUUUUGGACAAUGGGGGCAACCCUGAUCCAGCCAUUCCGCGUGAGUGAAGAAGGCCUUCGGGUUGUAAAGCUCUUUCGGCAGGAACGAAACGGUGGGAGCUAAUAUCUUCUACUAAUGACGGUACCUGAAGAAGAAGCACCGGCUAACUACGUGCCAGCAGCCGCGGUAAUACGUAGGGUGCGAGCGGUAAUCGGAAUUACUGGGCGUAAACUCAAGGCAGGCGGUGAAUCCCCGGGCUGAACCUGGGAACUGCAUUUGAAACUAGGUCGCUAGAGUGUAGCAGAGGGGGGUAGAAUUCCACGUGUAGCAGUGAAAUGCGUAGAGAUGUGGAGGAAUACCGAUGGCGAAGGCAGCCCCCUGGGUUAACACUGACGCUCAUGCACGAAAGCGUGGGGAGCAAACAGGAUUAGAUACCCCAGUAGU
rnacentral:rRNA from 1 species